rnacentral:lncRNA from 1 species
CAACAGUUUGCCUUACAACUCCUUGUUGACCUCCUCACUUUCCCAAAAAUUGCAAACCACAGCCAGAUCCAUCAUGCAGAAAUCAGAAACUGUGGUUCAGAUGACUGAGCAAUCAGGGUGGCAGGGCUGCCCGUCCAUUUGUCAGACUCAGCCAGACAAGGACAGAGCCUAAAGGAGCUAAGUGGAAGAGUGAGCACGCGUUUUGUUCUCUGGCCUUGGCAAUGGACACGCUAAAUCACACCCGGGCACAAGUGGAGCAUUCAUCAGGAACCACGAGCCCCUCUUUCAGUCUGCCAAACCUAUCCAAUUACUGGGGCUGGAAGAGCCUGCACAAACCCUUCUGCCAGGCAAGUUCUCUUGUUUGCACCCUCUAAAAAUAAUACCUUCUGAGCUCCG